UGAGGAAUAUUGGUCAAUGGGCGCGAGCCUGAACCAGCCAAGUAGCGUGAAGGAUGAAGGUCCUACGGAUUGUAAACUUCUUUUAUAAGGGAAUAAAGUCACCCACGUGUGGGUGUUUGUAUGUACCUUAUGAAUAAGCAUCGGCUAACUCCGUGCCAGCAGCCGCGGUAAUACGGAGGAUGCGAGCGUUAUCCGGAUUUAUUGGGUUUAAAGGGAGCGUAGACGGGUCGUUAAGUCAGCUGUGAAAGUUUGAGGCUCAACCUUAAAAUUGCAGUUGAUACUGGCGUCCUUGAGUACGGUUGAGGCAGGCGGAAUUCGUGGUGUAGCGGUGAAAUGCUUAGAUAUCACGAAGAACCCCGAUUGCGAAGGCAGCCUGCUAAACCGCCACUGACGUUGAGGCUCGAAAGUGUGGGUAUCAAACAGGAUUAGAUACCCUGGUAGUCCACACGGUAAACGAUGGAUACUCGCUGUUGGCGAUAGACUGUCAGCGGCUUAGCGAAAGCGUUAAGUAUCCCACCUGGGGAGUACGCCGGCAACGGUGAAACUCAAAGGAAUUGACGGGGGCCCGCACAAGCGGAGGAACAUGUGGUUUAAUUCGAUGAUACGCGAGGAACCCUACCCGGGCUUGAAUUGCAGACGAAUUGCUUGGAAACAGGCAAGCCGCAAGGCGUCUGUGAAGGUGCUGCAUGGUUGUCGUCAGCUCGUGCCGUGAGGUGUCGGCUUAAGUGCCAUAACGAGCGCAACCCUCGUGUCCAGUUACUAGCAGGUUAUGCUGAGGACUCUGGACAGACUGCCAUCGUAAGAUGUGAGGAAGGUGGGGAUGACGUCAAAUCAGCACGGCCCUUACGUCCGGGGCUACACACGUGUUACAAUGGGGGGUACAGCAGGCAGCUACCGGGCGACCGGAUGCCAAUCCCGAAAGCCUCUCUCAGUUCGGACUGGAGUCUGCAACCCGACUCCACGAAGCUGGAUUCGCUAGUAAUCGCGCAUCAGCCACGGCGCGGUGAAUACGUUCCC
rnacentral:rRNA from 1 species